GAAGAAGAAACUCAGGACUUGGGUGUUCAGGCUACGUUCGCGGCGCUUGAUUGUGAUCAGAGGAAGUGAAUUCGGUUGGUAAACUGGACUGGGAAUGGUAUGGAAAGUGUAAGGGGAAGUGAUGUUUCAGGAAGUGAAUGUGAGGGAAUGGAAGAAAGGGGGGAAAGUGGAGCAUGGAUGAAAGUCAGGGGCAAAAAACGGAAAAAAAGGAUAAAUCAAAAUCUAGUGACGAAGAGGAAAUAAGUAGUAUAGCGGAAAGGAGUAAAGUAGAAUACAAAGUAUUUGUGAAAUUGGUUUGUGAUGGAUCUACAUUUGAAGAUUGGAGUCCAAUACAAUUAACCAAAGCAAUACAUAAGGAAUUUGGAGAGGUAAGGAGCGCAAAAAAGCUGAGAAAUGGAUGUCUAAUGGUUACAUGUAAGGAUGAAGAACAGCAAAGAAAGGCAAUCAUAAUUAAUAAAAUAAAUGGCAAAGGAGUCAAGUGUUCAGUGGUGUAUGACAAGAAACUUGUAAGGGGAGUAAUUUCAGGGAUCCCAUUAAGGGAAUCUGUGGAUGAUGUCAAAGGAAGCAUAAAUAAUGCCAAAGUAAAGGAAGCAAAGCGACUAAAAACAAGACGAGAUGGAGUUAUUACUGAUAGUCUUUCAAUUGUGAUAACAUUUGAAGAAGAUAAACUUCCAGAAAGGGUAUAUGUUGGAUACAUGAGUUAUGAAGUUAAGAUGUAUAUUCCACCACCACUUAGAUGUUAUAAAUGUCAAAAAUAUGGAAAUAUAGCUGCAGUGUGUAAGGGGAAACAAAGAUGUAGUAGGUGUAGUGGAGAGAAUGAGUAUGGGAAGUGUGAUAACGAUGCAAAGUUAAAAUGUAGUAAUUGUGGGGGGGAACACAGCUCAGCAUACAGAGGAUGUGAAGUAAGCAAGAGAAUGCAGGAAGUACAGAGGCUCAAAGUAAAUCAAGGUUUAUCUUAUGCAGAAGCAACAAAGACUGUUAAAAGGGCAGUGGUAGGUUCAGCUUCGAAUGUUAAAGAGGGAAGACAGUGUACAGAGUGUGACAAAAUCAAAGAAGAAACUGAUUUUGAUUGUAUCAAAAAAUAACUUUGUGUUAUUUUUUAUUCAUGGCUGAGAUCGUCAAUUGUUCAGCACAGACAACAAGUAGGACAGAGAGAAUUAAAAUUAUAGUUAGAUCCGCUGAGAAAUUCUUGGAUGUGAAAGAAUUGUUGUGGGAAUCAGUCAGAGACACUUUGAAUGAAGAGGUACAACAAUCGCAAGGAUGGGUUGAAUCGGGUUAAUGGUCUUGAUUAUAUUGCAAUGGAAUGCCCGGAGUUUAAUAGCGAAUGGACAGGAAUUUAAAAAUUAUGUUGAUAAUCAGUGUGUUAAACCCAAUGUUAUUUGUAUACAGGAGACUUGGAUGAUUCCCAAACUGAAUUUUAGUAUUAAAGGAUAUUCCUCAGUAAGGAGAGAUAGAGAAAAUGGAAAAGGUGGGGGAGUUAUAACAUUUAUACAAAAAGGCAUUCAGUAUAGGGAAAUUAAAAGAGGGAAAGAUCUAGAAUACAUUGUUGUUGAGAUUUGGUCAAAAGAGGGUAAUAUAGAAAUUAUACAUUUUUCUAAUCCAUGUAGGCAAUUAGAAUCAAGUCAAUUAGCAGAAAUUUGGAAGGAUACAAAAGGGAAAGUGAUAUGGUGAGGUGAUUUUAAUGCCCAUAGCACACUGUGGGGGGUUAAGAAUGAUGGUAAUGGGGAUGUGAUUCUAGAAUUUAUGGAUGAAGAAGAGUUAGUUUGUCUUAAUGAUGGUUCAGGUACAAGAAUGGAUGUUGUUAGGGGAACAGAAUCAGCAAUAGACCACACAUUAGCUACAAUAACAUUAGCAGACAAGUGUGAGUGGGAGGUUUUGAAGGACAACGCUAUAGGUAGUGAUCACUUCCCAAUUAAAGUUCAGGUAGGAAUGGAAGUUGCAAUUGAACGUGAAGUUAAAAAUGAGAGAUGGGUUUUAGAGAAAGCAGAUUGGGAAAAAUUUAGAGAGAUUAGUGAGAAAAUGAUGUCAGCAGUAGAUAGAAAUACAGAUAUUGAAAGUUUGUGUAAAGAUAUUAGUGUUGGAAUAAUCAGGGCUGCAAGUGUAGCCAUUCCAAAAUCUAAACCUAAGAAGCUAGGUAAAAUAGUACCAUGGUGGACCAGUGAGUGCAAAAAAGCAAUUAAAGAUAGGAAUAAAGUUUUUAGAGUUUUGAAAAGAACACAUAAUUAUCAAAACCUAAUUGAAUUUAAGAAAUCUCAAGCAGUUGUCAGGAAAACCAUAAGGGAGGCUAAGAAUGGUUGUUGGAGAAGGUUCUGUGACUCAAUAGGAAGAACUACUCCAGUGGAGAGAGUUUGGGGUAUGAUAAAGAAAAUGAAAGGGAGUGGAAAAGAAUAUGAUUAUCCGGGAUUGAUUGAAGGUCAAAAUGUUAUCACUAAUAGUAAUGGCAAAGCAGAGAUAAUGGCUAAGACAUUUAGUAAGGUACAUAGUAAUGAAAACCUUAGUCAACAGGAAAAGAGGGCAAGAGCAGAAACAGUUGGAAAUUAUCGAGGAUGUAAGUAUAUAUACAUAUGCAUCUAAACAGAGUGAUAAAAGAAUGGGGGUAGCAUAUGUCAUCCCAAAAUUAAAAGUAGAAGUUGGUAAAAGAAUCAGUGAUGAUUUGGCAGUUUAUACAGCGGAGUUGGUCGCUGUGUGGCUAGCUCUGCUGUGGGUGGAAGUUAAUAGGCCAGGGAAGGCAGUAAUUGCUUCAGAUUCAAGCUCAGCUUUGAUCUGCAUUAAAACAUGUCAGUCAAAAUCAAGACAGGAUAUUGUAAUAUAAAUAAUACAAAUUGCAAAUAAUCUGAUACAAGCAGGAACUGAGAUAACUCUUAUAUGGGUACCAGCCCAUAUAGGAGUCGCAUGAAAUGAGUUGGCAGACAAAUGUGCUAAGAAAGCAGCUGGAAAUUCCGAUGUAGAUAUUGAGGUUAAUUACAGCAAAGAAGAAAUUAAGAGUAUAGUUAAAAACAUUGUUAAGAGCAAAUGGCAAACAUUAUGGGACAAUGGGCAGACUGGAAGACAGUUCUAUAAUAUCCAAAAUAAAGUGGGAAAGGGCAGAAAUAUCAACAGAAGCAAGGAGGAGGAGGAUGUGUUGUCAAGAAUGAGAUAUGGACACACAAGAUUAAAUAAAACUCUGGUAAUAAUAAAGAAACAUGAAAAUGGCAAUUGUGAAUUAUGUGAAUGUCCAGAGUCUGUAGAUAUGUUAUAAUUCAUUGUCCUAAAUAUCAGGAAGAAAGACAAAGAUUAAGAUCACAAUUAAAAAGAAAACAGUUAAGAUUAAACUUAGAAGAAAUCCUACAAAGAAGCUCAGGUGAAAUAUGUUUUAAAUAUGUAUUUAGUUUCCUAAGGAAUACAGGACUAAUUAAAAUAAUUUGGGUGUUUUUUUUUUUUUAGAAAGGUUAGAAUCCAGUACCACACCCCAGUCCAGCAGGUGGCGGUAAUGCACUAUUAAAGUUAGUUGCCAACCGCAAAAAAAUUGAAAGAAGAAGAAAAACUCAGGACUUGGUUACCAAGUCGGAGCGAGAGAACAACUGUGGUGCCUCAAGCAAUCUUUUCUAACUCCUGUAGAUUGUGGAUACUUACCUGUAUAUUGACUUUUUUCAUUUGGAUUAUUCCCUCUUUAUUUUUCUGUUUGUUGUUUCUUUGGUACUUUGUGCACCUAUAUAUAUUUUUUUCACCAUUGGACUGUGUUUAUUUUUUGGCACUGUAAAUAAAUUUCACUUGCACAUAAGUGCUAUUGCGGGCUGAGCCAUCAUUUAACAUCUUUUAAGGACAUUCACAACAUCCCCUAGUGAGUGGUGGUUCUCGCUUUAUCACAGAUAUAAUAAGUAAUAUUAGGUGACCAUUUACUGAACUGAAGUUACUUUGGUUUACUUGAUUAGAAAAGUCAAGUUACAUGUGAGCUCAUUGGAGUGCAGUAUCUGUUCCAGCAGACUGGUCAGGCACUGCAGGACAUGAACCCAGACUCUGAAGAGACGGCAGAGCUCAUCGAGGAACUUAAUGUGGAGGAGCAAGAUGAAGAUGAGGGCUUCUGUGAUGUCAGCGAGGAUCACACCAUUGCAGAUCCCGAGGAUGUUCUGUCACCUCCCUCCUCCACUCUGACACUGGGUUCUUCCACCGUGGUCACCAGCAGUGACACGGCUGUACUGGGUUCCACAUCCCCUUCACUGGUCCCUGAUCCUACACCUGCUCCUUCAUCACCUGGACCCUCGGGGACUGCUGUGCCACCUUUUCCCUCUGAAACAUCUGUUUCACCACUCUCCUCAGAGCCAGAGGAUGCUGGUCAGGAUGAUGGUGACGAUGAAGAGACUGCUGUUGACUACCAAAAUGUAGGACAAGCUGGCAACAUGUGGACAAGCUGGCAGAAUAUCUGGUGGAGCUCCGGGGUCACAUAGCCCUUAGCCUGACCAAUCAGGAAGCCAGCACCACAAUUUAACUUUGGCAGAACCUGCCUGACCAGGACAAGCAACAGGUGGUGUAUGCAGCUCGACACCAGAAGAGACUGCUGAGUGGACGCUUCAGAGUACCAAGGAGGCCCACUAAAACCCCAGGAGUAGAGAGCACCACCAGAAGUAUGCUGGGAGCAAGCAGCGCACCUGCUCAGUGGCCUGACUGUUGCCGCUGGGGGAGAUCAUCUGGCACAUCAUCCCUCUACCAAAGAAAUCAUGCCCCAAGGAGUGUAAUGAUUUCAGACCGGUAGCAUUAACAUCAGUAUUAAUGAAGUCAUUGGAAAAAAUCAUAUCCUCUGUACUCACUCAGUCUACACAGGACAUACUGGAUCCAUUCCAGUUUGCAUACAGGCAACAGCGUAGCACGGAGGAUGCUGUUGGCACGCUCAUGCAUUUGGUCUCAAAACUCCAAAAAUAAAGCCAUAUGCCAGGGUGCUGUUCAUCGACUUCUCAUCUGCAUUUAAUACAAUAAAACCGGACAUAUUGUUAUCUAAAAUGGCUCACAUGGGUAUAAACCCAUAUCUUAUUCACUGGUACUGUUCUUUCCUCACUAACAGGCAACAGCUGGUCAGGGUCAAUAACACCUAUUCCCCCAUGGUUACAACCAGCUGCGGUGAACCAGAAUACCCUGAUUCAGUGGUAUGACAACAGACAGAAAAAGCAGGAACUGUCUGUGCUGAUUCAGGGCAUUCAGUUGCCUCAGCCCCUCCCUGAAGCUCAGGAACCUCUCCAGGCUGCCAAACGCCUACGGACUGAGCCAGAACAACCAGUGGAGCAGCACCAUUACAAGCUACCAGAGAGCACAGCAGGUCAGGCAAAACAGAGGCACACUUCUACUGGACGACCCCCUCUCAGACCCAAGGCACCAAUAUACAGUAGACUCCUAUGUUGGUUAUGCCAUCAGCACCUGGAGCAUCAGUGCAGAUGGUACCCAAAAUACUUAUACCUGCAACACCAGGUUUCCAGGGUGUGCCAAUGCUUCAGGGUGUGCCAGUGUUCCAGGGCAUGCCAAUGGCUCAAAGACUGCCAAUGGUCCAGGGCAUUCCAAUGGUCCAGGGCAUUCCAAUGGUCCAGGGAAUUCCAAUGGUUCAGGGAAUGCCAAUGGUUCAGGGGAUGCCACUGUCACAGCCUACAGUUGUGACCCAACAAGAGAACUGUAGAGGCAAACACUUGCAAGAAGUGCGGACAUUUCAAAACCAGUGCAACGGGACAUAGCCAGUACAGGGGCAAAGUAUACUGCCCACAGUCUGAGACUGUUACAAAAGAACAGUGGUUAGAGGAAAUGCGGAGAACUGUUCCCAAAUAAUGUAUAUAUUUUUUUAUUUAUUGUAGUGUGUAUAUAGUUGUUUAAAUAUAGUUAAUAGUUGUUUUUCUCCAGACUGGACUACUGUAAUGCUCCCUUGGCAGGUCUUCUGGCACGUACUAUCAAGCCUCUGCAACUGAUCCAGGAUGCAUUAGCAAGAGUGGUCUUUAAUGAGCCAAAGAAAGCCCACGUCACACAUCUCUUCAUAAUUUUGCACUGGUUACCAAUAGCUGUUCGCAUCAGAUUCAAGGUAGUGAUGUUUGCCUACAAGAUAACCACUGGCUCUGCAGCAAUAUACCUAAAGUCGCUGGUUCAGACCUUUGCUUGCGUUCUUCAAUGAAAAUCACAACAUGGGCUCAGGAAUACUUCCAGAAAACGUUGUUCGGUGAACACAAUCCACCGUGCCAUUCGCCGUUGCCAGCUAAAACUCUACAGGUAAAAAAAGAAGUCAUAUCUAAACAUGAUCCAGAAGCGUAGGCAGUUUCUUUGGGCCAAGGCUCGUUUAAAAUGGACUGUGGCAAAGUGAAAAACUGCUCUGUGGUCAGACGAAUCCAAAUUUGAAGUUCUUUUUGGAAAACUGGGACGCCAUAUUAUCCGGACUAAAGAGGACAAGGAUAACCCAAAUUGUUAUCAGCACUCAGUUCAGAAGCCUGCAUCUCGGAUGGUAUGGGGUUGCAUGAGUACAUGCGUGUGGCUGCUUAGAAUGAGGAAUGAGGAUCUGGGUACUGAAAUGGCCAGCCUGCAGUCCAGAUCUUUCACCCAUAGAAAGCGUUUGGCACAUCAUGAAAGAGGAAGAUGCGACAAAGAAGACCUAAGACAGUUGAGCAACUAGAA